GAAAUGCGAUAAGUAAUGUGAAUUGCAGAAUUCAGUGAAUCAUCGAAUCUUUGAACGCACCUUGCGCUCCUUGGUAUUCCUUGGAGCAUGCCUGUUUGAGUAUCAUGAAAUCUUCAAAGUAAAUCUUUUGUUAACUCAAUUGGUUUCUACUUUGGUAUUGGAGGUCUUUGCAGCUUCACACCUGCUCCUCUUUGUUCAUUAGCUGGAUCUCAGUGUUAUGCUUGGUUCCACUCGGCGUGAUAAGUUAUCUAUCGCUGAGGACACUGUAAAAGGUGGCCAAGGUAAAUGCAGAUGAACCGCUUCUAAUAGUCCAUUGACUUGGACAAUACUUUUAUGAUCUGAUCUCCAAUCAGGUAGGACUACCCGCUGACCUUAAGC
rnacentral:misc_RNA from 1 species